CCUACGGGAGGCAGCAGUGGGGAAUAUUGGACAAUGGGCGAAAGCCUGAUCCAGCCAUGCCGCGUGAGUGAUGAAGGCCUUAGGGUUGUAAAGCUCUUUUGUGUGGGAAGCUGUACCACAAGAAUAAGCCCCGGCUAACUUCGUGCCAGCAGCCGCGGUAAUACGAAGGGGGCUAGCGUUGUUCGGAUUUACUGGGCGUAAAGCGCACGUAGGCGGAUCUUUAAGUCAGAGGUGAAAUCCCGGAGCUCAACUUCGGAACUGCCUUUGAUACUGGGGAUCUUGAGUUCGAGAGAGGUGAGUGGAACUGCGAGUGUAGAGGUGAAAUUCGUAGAUAUUCGCAAGAACACCAGUGGCGAAGGCGGCUCACUGGCUCGAACUGACGCUGAGGUGCGAAAGCGUGGGGAGCAAACAGGAUUAGAUACCCUUGUAGUC
rnacentral:rRNA from 1 species